rnacentral:rRNA from 1 species
AGAGUUUGAUCCUGGCUCAGAUUGGACGCUGGCGGCACGCUUAACACAUGCAAGUCGAACGGCAGCAGAAGAAAGCUUGCUUUCUUGCUGGCGAGUGGCGGACGGGUGAGUAAUGCGUAGGAACCUGCCCUGAAGAGGGGGACAACCCGAGGAAACUCGGGCUAAAACCGCAUAAUCUUUUCGAAGCAAAGCUGGCUACUUGUAGCUGGUGCUUUAGGAGGGGUCUACGUUGGAUUAGCUUGUUGGUGGGGUAAAGGCUCACCAAGGCUAUGAUCCAUAGCUGUUCUGAGAGGAAGAUCAGCCACACUGGGACUGAGACACGGCCCAGACUCCUACGGGAGGCAGCAGUGGGGAAUAUUGGACAAUGGGGGCAACCCUGAUCCAGCGAUGCCGCGUGUGUGAAGAAGGCCUGCGGGUUGUAAAGCACUUUUAAUGAGGAGGAAUAGUUCCAUGUUAAUAGCGUGGAGCAGUGACGUUACUCAUAGAAUAAGCACCGGCAAACUCUGUGCCAGCAGCCGCGGUAAUACAGAGGGUGCGAGCGUUAAUCGGAAUGACUGGGCGUAAAGGGCACGUAGGCGGUUGGACAAGUUAGAUGUGAAAUAUCAGGGCUUAACCUUGGUGCUGCAUCUAAAACUGUCUAACUAGAGUUCACUAGAGGGAAGCGGAAUUUCCGGUGUAGCGGUGAAAUGCGUAGAUAUCGGAAGGAACAUCAGUGGCGAAGGCGGCUUUCUGGAGUUGAACUGACGCUAAUGUGCGAAAGCGUGGGGAGCAAACGGGAUUAGAUACCCCGGUAGUCCACGCUGUAAACGAUGAGUACUAGCUGUUGGAAUGCGACGACAUUUUAGUAGCGUAGUUAACGCGAUAAGUACUCCGCCUGGGGAUUACGGCCGCAAGGCUAAAACUCAAAGGAAUUGACGGGGGCCCGCACAAGCGGUGGAACAUGUGGUUUAAUUCGAUGCAACGCGAAGAACCUUACCUACUCUUGACAUCUAUGGAACAUCUGAGAGAUCAGUUGGUGCUGGAAACAGAACCAUAAGACAGGUGCUGCAUGGCUGUCGUCAGCUCGUGUCGUGAGAUGUUGGGUUAAGUCCCGUAACGAGCGCAACCCUUGUCCUUAGUUGCCAGCACAUUAUGGUGGGGACUCUAAGGAGACUGCCGGUGAUAAGCCGGAGGAAGGUGGGGAUGACGUCAAGUCAUCAUGGCCUUUAUGAGUAGGGCUACACGCAUGUUACAAUGGACAGUACAGAGGGAGGCCAAGCCGUGAGGUGGAGCGGAACUCAGAAAACUGUUCGUAGUCCGGAUUGAAGUCUGCAAUUCGACUUCAUGAAGUUGGAAUCGCUAGUAAUCGCGAAUCAGAACGUCGCGGUGAAUACGUUCCCGGGCCUUGUACACACCGCCCGUCACACCAUGGGAGUGGGUUGCAAAAGAAGUGGGUAGCUUAACAUUGGGCGCUCACCACUUUGUGAUUCAUGACUGGGGUGAAGUCGUAACAAGGUA